GAUGAACGCUGGCGGCGUGCCUAAUACAUGCAAGUCGCGCGAAUGGAUUAAGAGCUUGCUCUUAUGAAGUUAGCGGCGGACGGGUGAGUAACACGUGGGUAACCUGCCCAUAAGACUGGGAUAACUCCGGGAAACCGGGGCUAAUACCGGAUAAUAUUUUGAACUGCAUGGUUCAAAAUUGAAAGGCGGCUUCGGCUGUCACUUAUGGAUGGACCCGCGUCGCAUUAGCUAGUUGGGGAGGUUACGGCUCACCAAGGCCACGAUGCGGAGCAGACAGAAGGGGGUGAGCGGGCACACGGGGACUGAGACCCGGCCCAGACUCCUACGGGAGGCAGCAGAAGGGAAUCUUCCGCAAUUGACGAAAGUCUGACGGAGCAACGCCGCGUGAGUGAUGAAGGCUUUCGGGUCGUAAAACUCUGUUGUUAGGGAAGAACAAGUGCUAGUUGAAUAAGCUGGCACCUUGACGGUACCUAACCAGAGAGCCACGGCUAACUACGUGCCAGCCGCCGCGGUAA
rnacentral:rRNA from 1 species